GAAAGUGUGAGGAAAAACGCCAAACGGGGUGGAAACAAGGUCACACUCCCGGGAGACGUUUUGGA
rnacentral:sRNA from 10 species